UCUCUUCCCCACUCCCAACUGAGGGGCUGUGGCCAGGCCUGGGGAUGCUUGUGUGACGCUCCCAGGACGGGCCCUGGAGCACCCCGAGACGGCAGGCUCCGUGAGCCCAAGGCCUGGGAAGCCGGGGUGGGAGGGUUUGGAGAGUCGGGAGGCCUGUGCGGGUCCUGGGCUGCAGGGACGCUGUCACCCAGCUCCAGGGCAGGUGGCCUCUGUGGUCCCUGCAGGAGGCCCGGCGUGAGCUGGACGGCCAACUGGCUGCCAAGCAGAAGGCGGGUCACUCCCCGCUGCUGCGAGCCAUCCUGAGAGGAGCUGGCACUGCCCACGCCUCAUGCUGAACCUGGCCAGCCCCACAUUCCAGAAAUAACCCGCCCUGGGGCACCCCGCUCGGCAGCGUUGAGGCCAGGCCGUGGCGUGCCUCAGCCUGUCCGUCUGCAGCAGUGUCAGGCUGCGCCUACUCCCGGCCUGGCACGGCCUGGCCCUCUCUCUUCCCAGGAUGGAGGUGGGCUCCAGCAUCUGUGCUUGCAUACUCCCAGGGACCAGGCACUCACUACCAGCAGAGGCCACCCUAACUAGCAAAGUUCUACAGACGGAGUCCAAGUCUGUGACAUUCUCCCAGUGUCCCCAGCAUGGAGAAGACAGCCCUAUGGAGAUGCAAGGACAGGGUCGCUUCUCUCCAACUGACCUGCUCUGUCCAGCCUGAUGAGCUCCCCUGCUCUGUCCUGUCUCCAAGACCACAGGUGGGGAGGGUCCAGAGUUUGCGAUCAGGGGCUUCCUGCUCCUGGAGGGAGGUUUCCCAGGAGCAGAGGAGUGAGCGCCUCAGGCAGGCCUGAGGGGGCACCCGCGCCUGGGCCCUCAAACCAACUUCCCUCCAGCGAGGGCACGGACCCCAGCCCAGCACCUGCUGAGGGGAAGGCGGCCAUGCUCUGGCUCCUGCACCAUCGCAACAGGUCUGCAUUCUCCUCCACACUCAGCCCUCUGCUCAGACAGGGGCCCACGCCCCCCAAGGUCCUCUGCUCAGCCCCUUGGUGACCCCAUGGACAAUGCCAGACUGAUCCUACUUGCUGUGGUCACAGCCUCUAAGGAUCCCACUGACCCACCUCCUGUGUCCCUUUCCUGGUGUGAUUCACACCCACGAACGUGGGUGGGACUUACUCGCUUUUAACCAAUAGGAUGUGGCAGAAGCAAUGACAUCACUUCCAAGAUUAGGUCACAAAAGGGCUGCAGCCUUGCCUCAGGCCCCUGGAUCCCUCAUUCCCUCACUCUCCCCGAGGGAGGUUGGGGGCUGCUAAGAGAGGCCCUCGAGGCAAGGAACUGAUGUGUGCGGUCAGAAGCCCACUGUGUGUGGUGGGGGCAGAAGGGUCAUGUCAGGAAGGUCUGUGUCAUCAAAGAACAGAGAUAGUCUGUACCCAGGGGUCCCAGCUGGCAGGGCCUCUGCAGCUAUGGUCUCACAGGAAACCCCUGGCAGCAGAGAAGUCUUGAUUCAGCCCUUUUUCCCACAAGGCGGCCGGCUCGGAGAGGAGGUGACCUGUCAACCCUGGGCGGGCUGGCUUUGGCCCCGUUGCUACUGUGUGCGCCCUCGCCUUCCAGCCCCGCAGCGCUGAGCCAGGCUGCUGGGGGAGUCAGCGCACGCAGUUUGCCCGAGCAUCCACUCUGGAAGAGUUCGGGACCGAGUCCCCAUUGGGCCCGGGAGGUCAGAGAAGGCUUCCGGAGCAGGGGGUCCAGGAAAGCCCAGGUGGGAGGGGAGAUGGGAUGGUGUUCCAGGUGAGGCGCCAUCCCAGAGAGCUCCCCAGCCCACCCAGCAAGGACUCUCCUGUGAUGGGAGGUCUACACCUGCCUCCCAGGGUGGGGGACAAUGUGGGGGUCAUCAGGCCAGACAGUGGGUCCCUUAUGCAAAUGCUGAGAUAUGACCUCAAGGAAGGGAUGCGGGAGCCUGCUGGCAGCCUGGGCCCAGAUGAGGGUGCUCUGAGCUGGGGAGUGGGGUGUGGCUUGGGAGGUCACAGGCCGAGGGACACGAGGGCCCAGGAUGGCCAGAUUAAGAGUGACGGCAGCAGGUAUGAGAGGCUGCAGGCCAGUGGAGAUCACGACACAGCUGCCGUCCACACGGUGCUUGUCCUGGGGGCAGGGACCCCGACCUCAGGCCCACUUUCAGCUCACCGCUUGGCCCCCAGCUGCUCUUACCAGCCCUGCCCAUGAGGGCUUGGCUGGGCAGCGAGGGCUAUGCUCCGUCUGUCCAGACUUGUCCCUGCAGGUCCCUGCAGUGGCCCCUGGAGGACGAUGGGUCCACACCUGUUGCCAGAGGAACACAAAGGAGCUGGCACAUGCCCAGUCUGUCCGUGGCUCCUUGCUGUUCCAUGCGGAUCGGAACAAGGCUGUCUGCUCUGGGGUCAGCGCAGCCACUCUGGGAAGCAGCCAGGGAGGUGGUGUCCAGCCGGGGGUAGGGGGUGCCCCUCAGACCCCAGGGCAGCCCCACCCACAGGCCCACUGCCCCAGCACUGGUUUUCGGCAGAGCUUGCCAACGGUGUCCCCCUCCAAAGGUCACAGGACCCUCGCCACACCUGAACUGUGACCGAGACCGCCGUCGAGUGCAGAGCAUCACGGCGCGGGUCCAGAGCUGCGCAGUGGCCCGGGGCCGGGCAAGGCCACAUGCAGCCUGGGGUCCGGAGGCCAAGAUUAGAGCCCAGGCAGCCCUGAGAGAGGAGCCCACUCAGGGACAGGCCCCCAGCAUGCUGAGGCCUCGUAGAGAAAUGAUUUGCUUCACCAAAUUAGUCCUCACUUUCCAAAGGACCUGCCCAGAGGGGCUGCAUGAAGAGACAAAAUGCUCCCAGCUCUCCCGGAACACAGCGGAAAUGGCCCCGGCCGGGGGUUCCAGACCAGCCUCAGGGGCCAGCAUGGGUGGGGUUCGUAGGACCCCAGCAACGGCCAAUGGCAGGGAAAACCAGCCGGCCCCCGGGAAGUUAUGGCCGCCUUGCGGAGCCCCCAGCCCCGGCAGCUGCCCCGCCCUGCACCUGUCUCUCUGUUUGCACAAAUCCCUUCCCUAAUAGACUUAAUCACGCUGCUUUGAUGACAGCGCCAGGGCCCGUGCAGGCCUCCCCGGCCGUGGGGAACAAGCACGCCAUUGUCUCCUGCCCCACCGCCGGCGGGCCUGUUAAUGGGUAAACCGAGGGGAGGAGGACGGCCCUGCCUGAGGCCGGGGCGGGGAGCCGCCGGGCAUGGCCUGGCCACCCCAGCACCCCCAUCCCACCAGGCGCCGCCAUCCUGCACUGGACCCCCCACAGGCAAAGAGCACGUGGCUUCUCGCCUGUUCUGGAACCAGCCCAGGGGCCACUGAUAGAGCCACCAGCAAGAGAGCUACCCCACACACCCCCACAGUGAGGCAAGCGGGCCUGGCCACUCACUGUGCGCCCCCGGGCCUAGGGGACACAUAAGCCACUGUCACUCUCUAAGGGUGGGAUUGUAAAAGGGGGCAAUUUCUUGAAAGUUAAACAUAGGGUCACCAUAUGACCCAACAAUUCUGCUCCCCAGGCAUAGACACCGGAUAAGCAAAAGCAGGGUCUCAAAGAUACACUUGCACACCCAUGUUCACAGCAGCAUUAUUCACAACAGCCAAGAGGCGGAAACGACUCAAGUGUCCCCUGAUGGGUGAACGGAUACACAAAAGAUGGUCCAGCCACACAGUGGAACAUGACUCAGCCAUAAGAUACACUGCAGCACGGACACGGGCUGCGACACGGAUGGACCUGGAACACGUGAGGCCCAGUAAAGGAAGCCGGACACGGAAAACCACAGACGGUAUGAUCCAUUGGGAUCCGUAGGUAGCAGGCAGACACUGGUGGUUUUGGGGGGCAGGAGGAGGAGGGGGGCAGUGGGCGCUGAUGAGUACAGAGUUUCCCUUGGGUGAUGGAAAUGCCUUGGAACUAGAUAGAGGUGGUGGUUGCACCAUAUUGUGAAUGUACCAAGUGCGGCUGAAUUGCACACUUUAAAAUGGCUAAUUUUAUGUCCUGUGAAAUUCACCUCAAUUUAAAGAAAAACAACCCGCUGAGAUAGACGCACAGACGGUGGGUCCUGGAGUGUGGGAAACCCAGAGCGGCUCGGUUGCAGGGUAGACACGGACCCCGAGGGGGCAGCCUGGCUCGGACCCCAGCUCUGCCCGCUCUUGGCUGUGACCUUGGGCAGGGGCAUGGCCUCCCUGGACUGUCGGGAGAAUGAAUUAGCCAUUGGAUGGGGACAGAAAGCCCUCCGCAUUGCCUCCCUGGACAGCUGUGGCCACACUCACACUCCCCCCAGGGCUCGUUUGUUCUGGCUCCCUCAUCCUUUCCCACCAUUUCAUGAAGACCUACUAUGCACCAGCCGGUUCGGGACCCUGGAGAAAGCAGGCCGAUCCGAUUCCUGCUGGCACAGAGUGCACAGUUCUAGGCUGGGGACACGCGAACGCUGGGUAACUGAACCCUUACAGCCCCGAGUGGGGAGAGAAGGCAGGAAAGGAUGACAGGGUGGUGAAUCCUUGGGCACCGCCCCCUGAGGGCAGAGCCAGCAUAUACCCAGGAGCCAGCCCCUGCCCUACUCUCCCUCCUAGGCCCCCGACCCACCAACUGACCUGCAGGCCUUGGCUGGGUUCUGGGGGUAGGGGGCCGCCCGAGACGGAGCAGGCUGCCCUCGCCUGACUCUGACCCUCAGUGUUUUCCUCCAUGAAAUGGGGAGGGAGGAGAGUGAUCUGCUCUUGUCCCAGAGCCCUGCCUCCUGCUGACCUCCCUGCCAAUGGGAACAGAGCUUGUCUGAGGUCAUCUCAGCCUCGAAGCCCGGGGUCAGGGCUCCCCGGACUGCCCAAAACACCACAAACAGGCCCCAGAACGGGUUUAUUCAUCUGCUCCAUAGAGGAACCACCUGCCGUGUCCUUCCCUCCCCCAGCCCCGGGCCACCACCGGCCCUUUGACUACAGGCACAGCUCUGCCUUUUCGGGACUGUCACUUGGCUGGAAACACAGCGCGUGGCCUUGUCAGGUUGGCCUCUCUCACUUAGUCACACGCAUGUCGGGCCGCUCCACGUCUUUGCAAACAGACUGCUCAUUUCUGUAUGGGCUUUACGCACACUCGGCUCUCUCACGUCAGAAAGACCCCUCUUGACCCCAACAACUCCCCAAUUCCCUCCCUUCGCUGUAAGUCUUGAAAGAGUGAACUCGCCCUCCCCAUUCCUUCCUGUCACCUCGCUGUGCCCCAAUGCCACCAGAACCGCGCGCCAGGGGCCCAGUGACCGGCCGUGUUAGCCCAGAGAUGUGCUCUGGUCCCCACCCCGUGGCCUCCCCGCCCUCCUUGGCUGGCCCUCUGCGCUCUCCUCCUCCUCCAGCUGUCCCUCUCCAGAUGCCUCCCCAGACCCUUCCACCUGCCCCGCGCUGGUAGACACCCAGGGGCCACAUCUCUUUGCCUUCCUGUUGUAGCCUCUGUCCGUGUCUGUGCAGGCCGCUUCUUCCUGUGCUUCAGACUCCAGUCCCAGAAGCCAACUCCCCUCUGACUGCCACCCUUGCAUGGCGGGUGGCAAGGCAGGCUCAGCAUCCCAGGGCCCGGGUUGCAGAGCUGCCCGCGCGCGACCUGGUCCUCCGCCACAAUUCCAGAUCUCCAUGCUGGCCACCACCAGCUUACCAACUGCCCCACCACAGCUGUGCCUUUCCUGCCCCGCAUUCUGUCCACCAGCUGCUCCUGUGGGAUUUUGCCCAACUGUGGCCCAAGCCCGUCAUCAGGGGAGUGACAGGGGUCUGCUGUGGUCUCCCCACAACCUCCCUCACGCCCCCUCAUCCUCCCCCAGGAGGUCAGAAAGACUUUUGCAAACGUGCGCCACAUGACAACAUGCACCUCCCUGCAUGUAGAGGCCCCCCGGGACUUCCCGUCAGCCUUCGAUAAAGACAGAGUCCACAGGGGCCUUUGUGCCUCCCCAGGCUGAUUUGGUGGCACAUGCCCACCUCAGCUCCUCUCCGUUCUCUGAGGGGCCAUGACUGAUCAGCCACAGGGCCUUUGCAUGCGCUGCUCCUCUGCCCAAGUGAACCCCACUUGAGCAUCACUCCCUUGGAAGCUGUCCCAGCUGCCUCCCAUGGUCCCCUAGUUCCACGUUGAGCCCCUUCACCCACACCGCAGGGCAAUGGGGGACGGCAGGGACCAAACAGAUCAGGUCCUGGUGACAGUGGGGCCUCCGUCCUGGUGGGGAAGAAGCAGAGAGCAGACAAGUUGGUAAAUACAUGGCAUGUUCAAGGAGUUAAACUCUACGGAGAAAUAGAAGAUGGAGUGACAUGGGCGGGUGGCAGACCCUGAGGCCCUUGUCCAUGUUGGCGGGGGCACCAGGGGCAAGCUCCCGACUGGUGGGCUUUGAGAGGCCUGUUGACCUUUAGGCGGACAUGCCGAACAGCCGUGGGUGUGAGCCGGGUUGCAGGAGACGUGACAGCAGGCACUGCUGCCUGCAGAGGGACUCUAAAGCCACGAGCCAGGAUGUGCUUGCCUGGGGCGGGCAUGGAUGCCAGAGCGAAGAGGCCUGAGCUGAGCCCAGCCUGUCCACGCGAGAGCUGGGCCCUGGAGAGGAGCCUUCCGCUUGUGUGCUUUCCUGAUGUCCGUCUCCCGCCUGGACCAGGAGCUCUCGUCUCUGAUCCCCUGCUGUAUCCUGUGCAGACAGCAGGUGCUCCACACGUGUCACGCGGCUGGCUGCAUGUGGCUGGACUCGGUGGCUCUCUGGGUGCGUCCCUGGAGGAUGGCUGAGGGAAGAGCCCCACAUGGAGCGCAUUAGGGUGGCAGCCACCAGGGCUCCCCAUCCACAGCUGAGACACUGAACACCAGCCUGGGAAGGCACAGAGCCUCCUGAAGGUGAAGGGAGAGCCAGCUGGGGCUCAAACCAGGCAUCCGUCUGAGCCUGUGCCGCCCUGCCCAGGGCCUGCCUGGGCCCCAGUGGUGGACAGUCCCUGGAAAGCUCCAAGCGAGGAGGGAGUCUUGGGCCCUCAGGACCGCUAUAGGGUCUGCUGGGAUGGAGGAGCAGGCGGUGAGCUGCCCCUGCCUUCCUCCCUCCCCUCUGCUCUCCCCCUCCCUGCCUCAUCCCUCCUCAGUCCUAAGGAACAGGGUGACCCAUGGGGAGAUGGGGAUCGGCACUGGCCAGGCUCCCUGCACCCAUCCUCCCAGGGGGCACCAGGCACACACAGCAUGCACAGACACAUGCCCAGCCACGGCAGGGGCACACGCACCCACACCCACAGUGUGUCACACCCACUGGGACCCAACCCUCCCGCCCCAGCCUCCUGCUGGCAGCGACAACCACACAGACGCUCAGGCACACGUCCCCAGCAUCAUCCACCCAGGCUGGCAGGUCCAGACAGACACCGUACAUCAAAGUCCCGGGCGGCAAGCGUGCCCGGAGCUCAGCCUGUGGGACAGGGGGACCCGAGGACAGGCAGACGCCUGCACCCCGGGAGGGGCUCUGCGGAGGGCCUGGGGGGCACAGAGCAACUUCCCAACUGCGCAGCGCUCCUGCAGGACCCCCUGGGGACCUCGCCUCUGAGACCCGAGAGCCCUGGUGCGGCCCAGCCCACCCUGUCACCGACACUGCACCGCCCCGGCCACCGAGGUCGGCAUGAAGUGCUCACAGCUGCCUCCUCCAUGAACUGUUCUCAGGCCAAGGGGAGGCCGUGCCCACCCCCAGCGCAGCUGGCCAGGGAGGGACCCGCAGGGGUAGAGAGGGCCAGCCCCAUGGCUGGGGGUGACGGCUCUGCGGAGCCAUCUACGCCCCAGGGCUCCCCAGGGAGCCCCCCUCCCCACUCGCCUGCUUUCUCUUUCCCUCCCUUCUCUGGAGGGCACCCCUCCCACGAACCCCGAGUGAGGAUCUGGGGCUCUGCUUCUGGAACAGGCCAGAGAGGUGCUGGGAAGCAGACCUCCGCCACACAGUCACCCCAGCCAGGAGGGCCUGCCGUGAGCUGGGGGCUGAGCCCGCCCUGCGCCCUGUUGGCUGGAGCCCCCGCCAGGUCGUCUGCAGCCCUCACACGAGAACCGCAGGGGAUCUGAGCCAAGGGACAGCGGAACAGGGCGUUGGCUAGGACCUCUGAGUCCUCAAUUUACAGUCCAGUGUGAGAGUCCCAGGCUCCCGGUGGCCCCGAGAGAGGCAGAGGCAGCAGGGCCACGGCCAGGCCCAGGGCAGGGUUGUGGGAUCCCCCGAGAAUCCGAGCAAGUGCCCCAAGGAGGAAGGAAGACCCCCCCAAGACCCUUGCACUUGAGGGCUUUGAACUCCCAACUCUCGGAGCCCCCUGGGCCUGCAGAAAACGCCCCCAUUGUAAGAUAGAGGCCACACGUCCUCAGAGACCCCGCAGGGACCUAAAUGACGCAGGUGCCUUACGAGGCAAUGCCCGCCCUCCUCGCAGUCUGCCCCACCUCCCCGCCUGGCCCCCGACCCACAACCAGGAAGGGCUGGCCUUGAUAAUUGGGGGGGCGGGUUGUACACCCAAGGGGCUGCAGCGCUGCCUGGCGGGGCCGCCGAGGCCUGGGGGAGGGUCGGAGGGUGCAGGUCAAAGCUGCAGUGUUAAACUGGAGGUGGGAGGGCUUGCUUAUACCAGGCCCAUUUCCUGGGACAUGGGACCUAACCCCUUGGCAGAUGGUCCUCAGAAGCGCCAGAAGAGCAACGACCUACUGUAAAGAAAGUCCUGAGACCAGAGCUACAUGGCAGACGGUGGAGGAAGGAAUAAGGCCCAGAGCAGCGGGCAUCCCACGUGGUCUGCGUGUAAUUCUGGGCCUGCCUAACAAAUUGGAAAAGCAACGCCCAAAAGGGACAAAGUGCCCCAAGGUAACCAAACUGCAUCCCAAAAUAGACCCCACGGUAUUCGUAGGAAUGCAGAGACAUCCAGCACCAACAAGGCAAAAUUCACAAUGUGCGCAUUGAAGAAAAAGUGUGAGGCGUGCGAGGAAGCAGGAAAAGGCAGCCCAUAAUGGGGAGGCAAGCCAAGCAGUCAGAACCCACACAGCUGCUGGAAUGAGCAGGGACAUGAAAAAAUGUGACUGCAUUUCACACAUGCAAAGGGCCCAAGAGAGACAUGGAAGCCACACGUUUGGCAAAAUCCAACACCCGUUCAUGAUAAAAACCCACAGCAAAUGAAGGAUCAAGAGGAACUUCCAUGUUUGAUAAAGAACAUGUGCAGAAACCUACAGCUCACAUCAUACUUAAUGGUGAGAAACGAGUUGCUUUCCACUGGAGAUCAGGAACGAGGCAAAGAUGUCUGCUCUCACCACUCCAAUUCAGCACCAUCCUAGAAGUCCUAGCUAGUGCGAUAAGAGAAGAAAAUGAAAUAAAACAUAUACGGAUCGCACAGAAAGAAAUAAAACACUUUCUAUUUGCUGACGACAUGAUUGUCCAUGGAGAAAAUUUUAACUGACCAAAAAAUGCUGGAACUAACAACCAAGUAUAACAGGGUCAUAGAAAACAACCUUAAUAUACACAAGUCAACUGCUUUCCUGUAUAGCAAUAACGAACAAUUGGAAUUUGAAGUUAAAAAAUGAAUCUCGUUUACAAUAGCACACCCUAAAAUGAAAUACUUAGGUAUAAAUCUAACAAAUACACAAGACCCACAUACAGAACACUGCCAGACACUGAUGAAAAAAAAUUUUUAAGAGCUAACUAAAUGGAGAAAUAUUCUGUGUUCAUAGAUUUGAAGACUCAGUAUUAAGACAUCAAUUCUUUCCCACUUGAUAUACAGAUUGAACACGCUCCCAACCAAAAUCCCAGCCAGCUCUUCAGGAAGCAUCAACAAACUGACUCUAAAGUUUCUAGGGAGAGGCAAAUGGCCAGGAAUCGCCAGCACAACACUGAAAAACGAGGCUGGAGAACUCACACCACCUGGUUUGGAAACCUCCUGUAAGACCACAGUAAUCAAGACAGCAUAGCACGGGUGAAAGAAUGCACACACAAAUCAACAGGACAGAAGAGCGAGACAGAGAGAGACCUACACAUACGUAGUAACUGGUCUUUUCCAAGGGGGCAAAGGUGAUUCAUGGAGAAAGAGCAGUCUUUUCAACAAAUGGUGCUGAAACAUUUGACGUCCACAUGCAAAAAAACGAACCUAGACACAGACGUUAUACCUUAAAAAAAAAAAAACUCUAAACAUAUUAUAGACCUAAAUGUUAAAUGCAAAACCAUAAAAUUUCUUAAAGAAAACAUAUGAGAAAAUCUACAGGAGCUUGGGUUUGGUGAUGAAAUUUUAAACACAACACCAAUAGCAUGAUCUAUGAUGGAAAAAAUUGAUAAGUCAGACUUCACUAAAAUUAAAAACUUCUGCUCUGUGAAGAACACUGUCAAGAGAAUGAAAAGCCAAGCCAUAGACUGGGAGGAAAUAUUUUCAUAUCUGGCAAAGGACUUGCCUCCGAAAUAUACAAAGGAACUCUCAAGAAUCAACCACACCAAAACAAUGCAACUAAAAAGCAAGAAAAA